rnacentral:rRNA from 1 species
UACGGAGGGUGCAAGCGUUGUCCGGAUUUAUUGGGUUUAAAGGGUGCGUAGGCGGUCUUUUAAGUCAGUGGUGAAAUCCUCCAGCUUAACUGGAGAACUGCCAUUGAUACUGGGAGACUUGAGUACAGACGAGGUAGGCGGAAUUGACAGUGUAGCGGUGAAAUGCAUAGAUAUUGUCAAGAACACCGAUUGCGAAGUCAGCUUACUAGACUGUAACUGACGCUGAGGCACGAAAGUGUGGGGAUCAAACAGG